UAUUAAGUAACGUCCUGCCAAACCCGU
rnacentral:siRNA from 1 species